ACCACCGCAAUGGCUACCCUGUAAGUAUAUAUUUAUAUAACACAAAGUUCCUCACUCUUUGACUGCUUGCUUCAAUGGCGCCUGAGAAACUGACAGAGUACGAGCGCAGGCGACUCGAGAAUAUUAAGCGAAAUGACGAGAUGAUGACCGCUCUCAUGAUCCAUUCCAAAGCAGCUGAACUAUCCGCCGCUACCGAUCGGAAAAGGUCUCUCGCUUUCUCCUCCAUCUUUGAAACGUGAGUUUGUCCAUUUGGUGCGUGCGUAUGUAAUGCAGAGUUUGCAAAUCGUAUAAAUCGAGUCCAGCGAAGAAACCAAAAAGCAACAAACCAGUAAUUGUUAGGCGGUCUUUGCGUGCAAGAGGCAUGCCGCUGAAUUCUAAUGGUUUAAGCGACGAAUCCGUUAGCAUGGUAGAUGCCUGCAGUGAAACUGGGACCCAGUUUUGUAUUUUGCGAGGCAAUUUUGUAUUUUGCGAAGAAAACACGAUUCGAUUUUUCAGUGAAAGGAGAGAAAUCCCAAUUAGGUGUUACGGUUAAAGAAGGAAAACCGCAAUUGGGAGCCUCAGCCGAAGGACAGAAGCCUGAAUUGGGUGUUUUAAUGGAAGAAGAGAACCCGGGAUUUGGUGUUUCCGUGAAAGAAGAAUUUGCUUGCAGAAGGCCCUUUAAACCCGAGAAAAUGAAUGGUUUGAGGGAAGAAACGGAUCAAAAGAGAAGUAAAUCUGGAAAUUGCCUUGAUUUGGGUUCCUUAAGUUUAAAACCACAGAAUAUAGCACGGGUGCUAUUGGGUAGGAUAAUGGUGGUCCUAUUUCAGGGAUUUUGAUUCAACAAUCUUCCUUAUCAAAGAUAUUCACCGGUUGCUAUGAUGGGUUUAUCCGGUUAAUGGAUGCUGAGAUGGAGAUAUUUGAGCUAGUACAUGUCAGUGAGCAGACUAUAUAUUCUCUCUCUCAACGACCAAGUGAUGUGAAGAGUCUAUACUUUGGCGAGGGGCCGGGAAGUUUGAACAUCUGGGAUCUCAGAACAGGAAAGUCCUCGGCCAAUUGGGAAUUGCAUGAUGGCAGGAUCAAUACUAUAGAUUUUAACUCACAGAACCCAUAUAUCAUGGCUACUAGUUCCUCAAAUGGGACUGCUUGCAUUUGGGACUUGAGAAAGAUGAAUUCAGUUAAUCCCAAAACAUUGAGGAGAAUGGAUCAUGAAAGAGUUGAACAUUCGGCAUACUUCUCACCUUCUGGAAGCUCCCUCGCAACAGCAAGGUAUCUACUGCUGCUGAGCCUUUGCUUUGCUUGCUGGGAAAAAAAAGCUUCAUUAGAUAGUUAUGACAACAAGAUUGGUAUUUUGAGUGGCAUCAAUUAUGGUGAUACUUCUAUGAUAGAUUAUCGCAAUCAGACGGGGAAGUUCUUCUUUUAAGUAAGCAUUGUGCCAAUAUAUACGUACUUUGAUAUGGAUUGUUCUUCAGAAUGUAUUCCUGUUUUCUGUGGUACAUUUGAUACUAGUCCAUACUCUGGAUUGUUUAAUUUUUGGUCACUUCCAGUGAGUUGAGAACUAGUUCUAUAUCUGUUUUGAAUAAUCAUAUAUGGUUUUAUACUACCAAGCUAUCAUUGCUAGAAUUAUCAGUCUUUUCAAUUGAAACUGGGUUUAGGUCUGCCAAUUUGAUAAAACAUAACUCAGAUAUAAAGGGAUCUGCCAAAACUUUAAACUCUGUAGACUUACAACUAGUUUAUUUUUUUGCCAACCCGUCUUACAUGCAUUCUUGCAGGCAAUGAUAUAAUCCUAAAAUGGAAGAUGCAUUGAGUUCAGUAUAUCAACAUUCCUUCUGUCAUUUUCUUUUGUAGAUUUACAGUAUUUUGUAAGAUGCAAACAAGCCAAGGAUGUUCUUUCUAACUCAUUUCUGUUUUCUUCGAGGGCGGUGGGAUAUGGGGUUAGGACGAUUCACACGUUUUCACUGGCAACAUGAGCAGAGGAAUUGAUGUAAUCUCUCCAACUCAAGGGACAACAGUUAUGACAUUGGAGAGUCCCCAUGUUACCUGGCCACCGCCUCUAGCCGGAGCCACAGACGGUGGCCAGGUGUAUAUGUGGACAUUGAAGUAGGAUGGUUGGUCAAAAAAAUCUAAAAGUUUUUCCAGUUGUAAUACAAAUUGACUCAAAGAACUUUCCCCCAAGAGUAGAAUCAGCAGUAGAUGUUCAGAGAUAUGCACCCUGCUGAAAAGGGUUGGUGGACAGUAGGGUUUUGAUUCUGAAUAUGGCGUGAGAAUGUUGAAAUUGAUUUAUUAGUUAUGGAGGAAUUUUGUACUCAGAUGCUUCUCUGGUAUGUGGAUUUGUUGAUUCACUAGGGUUGAGCAGAAGAUGAUCAUUGAACUUGAAAUUCCAUAAUAGUUUGUACAAUUUUGCUGUAAUGGGUAAUCUAUUGUAUGUUAGAACAUGUUUACUUGU